UGCAGAAANNNUNNNGUUUGAUCAUGGCUCAGAUUGAACGCUGGCGGCAAGCUUUGCACAUGCAGUCGAACGGCAGCACGGGGAGCUUGCUCCCGGGUGGCGAGUGGCGCACGGGUGAGUAAUACAUCGGAACGUGUCCUCUUGUGGGGGAUAACAACCCGAAAGGGUUGCUAAUACCGCAUGAGACCUGAGGGUGAAAGCGGGGGAUCGCAAGACCUCGCGCAAGGGGAGCGGCCGAUGCCCGAUUAGCUGGUUGGUGAGGUAAAGGCUCACCAAGGCGACGAUCGGUAGCUGGUCUGAGAGGACGACCAGCCACACUGGGACUGAAACACGGCCCAGACUCCUACGGGAGGCAGCAGUGGGGAAUUUUGGACAAUGGGGGAAACCCUGAUCCAGCCAUGCCGCGUGCAGGAUGAAGGUCUUCGGAUUGUAAACUGCUUUUGUCAGGGACGAAAAGGUUUCGGUUAAUACCCGAAACUGCUGACGGUACCUGAAGAAUAAGCACCGGCUAACUACGUGCCAGCAGCCGCGGUAAUACGUAGGGUGCAAGCGUUAAUCGGAAUUACUGGGCGUAAAGCGUGCGCAGGCGGUUCCGUAAUAUAGAUGUGAAAUCCCCGGGCUUAACCUGGGAAUUGCAUUUAUGACUGCGGAACUGGAGUUUAUCAGAGGGGGGUG
rnacentral:rRNA from 1 species